rnacentral:misc_RNA from 1 species
GAUCACAGAAACAAAACAAACUGCAGAUAAAUUUCCACCCUUUUCCUAAUUAAAUAAAUAGAUGUAAAAUGUCCACUCCUUAUGUACAAUUGAAGCAGCCAUUAAAUGAGUAUGCUUUACUAUGUCGUGGUUGCUUGGCCGAAUCAGGAGAGAUGAAGAAUAUGGAGGAAUGGGGCUUGGCGGACGACUUCUAUAGAAUUGCCGAGAAAAAACCUGAACCUACACCAGAAAACACAAUAACCUGCAUCCUAAACGGUGACAAACUGAACAUAAUAAUAACAGCACAAGAUAUGGAAUCCAAAAUACUCCUCCCCUGUCCGUAUGCUGUUGGUAACAAAUGCCCCGAGAGAUACUUGAAGAAGAAAUACUUGUAUAACCAUUUGGUGAAAUAUCACGGGUUGUCAGAGAAGCUGGUGAUUGAAUGUCAGUAUUACUGCAGCUAUGAGGAGUGUUCGUACUUCGUCAAUGCAGGUAACAAUAAGUUUUUCACCGAACGAAAAUACCUAAACCAACAUUACAAUAAAGUCCACAGAUCAAAAAUAAUCUGUGAGCAAUGCCACAUGAGUUUUUCCGAUACAGAAUACGAACGACACCUAAAAGUGUGCAACGUCACAUAUCUCUGUCAAAUAUGCAAUAUAGAAUAUAAGAAUAAUGAACGACUACUAGUACAUUUAAUGAGAAAACAUCCUCAAAUACACGAAGAGUAUAAAAGGGGAAGAAAAAGAAAAUAUCAGAGACUACCACAGAGUGUAAAAGAAUCAAAAUCGAUGAGAAAAUAGAAUAUAUCUGUGACAGUCCUAAACGAUCUUUGGCUACUCAAACGCGUCCAGAAGAAAAUAUAAAAAACGACGUCACUUUACCUUCAUGGAAAAGCGAUGGUGAAGCCAAAACGGAUGAAAUCUCAACUCAAACGGUCUUUGAAGAUUUACUUUCUCUUAAAUCUCAAACUAGUGAAGACGAUUCAAUAUUUUUUUCGGAAACGGUAUCUCUAUCUGACAUUCAAACUCAAACAUUCCCUGUAGAGUUCGGUUUAAGUAGAUGUAAUAAGCAAACCGCUACUGAAACGCAACCCCCGGAUUUGAGUAUAAAAGAGACGCAGACUUGUCUAUGUUUAUAUGAUUCGAAAUUCAAAUCGUUUGACAGCAGCAUGUCCCCGAGUCCAUUCUUGACUUCAACGGAGACUCAGACGGGGGACAAAUUUGAUGACAUGUUGUUUCAUGAUACUGAGACACAGACUUGUUUUGAAGAGGAGUUGUGACAGUGGACUUAUUUUGAAACGUAAAUUUGUACAUGUUGCGCGCUAGAUCACUAGAGAUGGAACAGUUUUGCUCCGGUUGAAGAUCCUUCAAAAGGGAUCAGCCUGUCUAGCUAUUUGACGUGAUAUGUAAGUACUAAGUACCUAAUCUGUUUAUUUUGGUACUCGUUUUAUCUAUAAUAUGUAUGUAUUAAAAACGACAGGUGAAGUUGGCAUAAUAUUAGUAUACCGUACUAAAUGUGAUAUCGUCAUAUAAUGUACAGGGUUCGGAAUGUUCGGAUAUCUCGUAGCAUGUUAAGACGUUAGAGAACCAUGGAGUCGAUUUUAACAUAAAAGUCCAACUCAUACUCAUUCUCACAUACUCAUUCUAAAAGUUGAUUAUAAACGAAAUAAAUGCAAUUUGGAAUUGAAUAAAACUAUAUUUUGAAUGAAAAAAGACUGCCACACUAUCUUGUAUACUACCGAAAAAACACGCAAUCAAAAAAUAAUACUAACUAAUGCUUCUAGUUUGUAAUAUCCAUAGAACACGUAGAUACAGGUAUAACUAGGUAGGUAAUUAUAUUUCUUUAAUUUAUUGUUUUAACAGUUAACUUUCAGUCAUACAGUUUUAAUAAUUCAUCGUUUUAGAUGAAAUUAAAAGCAUUUUGUGACAAUUUAUAUGGGAUAUGGGUUAAAUUGUGGCGUAGGCGAGAGGCUGGCAACCUGUCACUGCAAUGCCACAGUUUCGUUUUCUUUCAACCUCCUUAUUUGCCAAGAGUGGCACUGAAGCUUUAGCAGUUUCAUGUGCUCUGCCUACCCCUUUAUGGGAUACAGGCGUGAUUGUAUGUAUGUAUGUAUGAUAUACACGAGGAUGAGUAUGAGUGUAAAUUUAAUGUUAAUAUCGACUCCAUGGUUCUCUAACGUCUUACCAUGCUACGAGAUAUCCGAACCCUGGUAAUAUAAGUGUAAGUUAAUUUGUUCAUUGUACUUUGUGUAUGGAAACAUAGAAAAUUAAGUGUCAAAAAUUGGAUUAAAGCUAAUUUUUGUGUUUGUAUAGUUCGCUAGAUAUCCAAAAUCAUAGUUUUACUCGUUCGCUGCUAAACCCUGCAUAGUAGCAUUAUUUUCCGACCCUAAUGUUGCAAACAGCAAAAGUAGAAUUAAAUAAGUAUGUUUUUCUACUCCCGUAGUGUUAUUCGUCAUUUACGGUGUCGUGCAUACAUUUUUAAAACCCUAUAUAAAAGAUGCCAGCCGGGCCCCGGCGCCCCGCGCACCCACGCAUACGAUAUAGCUCUUAAAGCAUUGUUAGGAAGCCUUUAAGGGAUAUAGCGGGGGCGCGGGGCGCCGGGGGCUGGCGGCGGCGCGGGGAAGUGCGAGCGACAGAAUGAGUGCAGGCUCUUUGGAUGGCAUGUUGCCUAUGAUCAUAUUUCUAUGAUAAACAUAUGAUAGUGGACUAUCGGCCUAAAACAUACUGUAUUGAUCCUGGUCUUAUCUGAAACAUCCUGUAUUGUUUCUCAUUAGGGUCAAGGUUAUUGCCAAGGUCAAAAAUGGGAGAUGCUUUAAAUUUGUCUUCUCUGUACUAUUCUCGUGAAUUAUGUUAAAGAUAUUUACAUGUAAAUUAAAUUCAGACUACUUCGUACCCUUGAAAUCGAUUGGAAGAUAAUAUUGGAAUACCCUGCUGUUUCCAAUUUCAUGCCAAUUCUAAUAAAUUAUGCUAAAUUGGAUUGAAUUCAAUGUCCUUCACUGGCAAUACUGGAAUAUUAAACGCCGAAGUGAAAUAAGAAAUAGCUACUAUAGGGCAUGACACAUUACCUACUUGUCUAAUUGCUUACCUACUAUGAUGUACUUACAUACCUACCUGUCUCAUACA